GGGGGGGGGGGGGGGGGUGGGGGGGGGGGGCGGGGGGGGGGGGGGGGGGGGGGGCUGGGUCCGGGGACGUUGGCGGCGGACGGGUGAGUAGCGCGUGGAUACCCUACCUGUAAGACUGUGCUAACUUCGGGAGACCGGAUCUAAUACCGGCUCACAUCUUGAACCGCAUUGGUCAAUAUUGAAAGGCGGGUUUUCUGUCACUUCUAGAUUGAUCCGCGCUGUAUUAGCUAGUUGUUAAGGUAACGGCUUACCAAGGCAACGAUACGUAGCCGACCUGAGAGGGUGAUCGGCCACACUGGAACUGAGACACGGUCCAGACUCCUACGGGAGGCAGCAGUAGGGAAUCUUCCGCAAUGGGCGAAAGCCUGACGGAGCAACGCCGCGUGAGUGAUGAAGGUCUUCGGAUCGUAAAACUCUGUUAUCAGGGAAGAACAAAUGUGUAAGUAACUGUGCACAUCUUGACGGUACCUGAUCAGAAAGCCACGGCUAACUACGUG
rnacentral:rRNA from 1 species